rnacentral:lncRNA from 1 species
GUCACUAGAGUGAAUUGGCAACCAACAGAAUGGGAAAAAAUUUUUGCAGUUUACCCAUCUGACAAAGGGCUGAUAUCCAGAAUUUACAAAGAACUCAAAUAGACUUACAAGAAAAAACCAAAAUCAUUUUAAAAGCAAAUUCUUCCAUGAACCCUUUUUGGAUUCUCCUAACCAGACAGGACCUCUCCUUACUUUGAACCUUGAAUCUCUGGUGGUGUUAUCAUGUUCUAUGCUAGAAAAAGCAGACAUUAUCAUUCACAUCUCCUCUAGCACAGGAGUUAAGAGCUUGCAUCCUGAAGGCUCCCCCAAUACCCUCCCCAGAAAAAAAAAGUUCAAACCCCAUAUCUGAUUCUUACUACCAAGUUGUUCUUGGGCAAGUCAUCUAUCUUCUCUAAGCCUCAAUUUUGUCUUCAAACGAGAUUAAGAUCUCAUAUGUGAAGAGCUGCAUUCCAUGAAAUGUUAGUUAUUAUCACUACUUGUCCUCACAACUAGAUUAGAAGCAAGUUUAUCUCCGAAAUUCAUUUUUUAAAAUCCAAUGCAAGAUCCAAACCAUCAGUUAAAACUGCAAGCAAUGUCCUAUAUGUAUAAAAUAUAUGAUUGUCUGCAGUACACUAGAACCAGAUGUUAAAAUAGUUUAUUACAGCGUAGGAUGCUCAAAAGAUUGUAAGUGAAAAGGCGAGAUACAUGUAACAUAAAAAGAAGGCCAUUUAUCCUAAUAUUAGUGCUUUUAUUCCUUAGUCAUAGUGUUACUCACAUACUUUUCCCUUCCUGUUUUUCGAAAUAUUCCAUAAAACAUGAGUUCCUUUAAAAAUGUUUUUUAAGUGUUUCAUACCCAGUGUUGAAAUGUCUAUAAGAGUAACCACAGAGGCUGGGAGCGGUGGCUCACGCCUGUAAUCCCAGCACUUUGGGAGGCCAACGCAGGCAGAUCACAAGGUCGAGAGAUUGAGACCAUCCUAGCCAACAUGAUGAAACACCAUCUCUACUAAAAAUAUAAAAAAAAUUAGCUGGGUGUGGUAGUAUGCACCUGUAGUCCCAGCUACUCAGGAGACUGAAGCAGGAGAAUUGCUUGAACCCAGGAGGUGGAGGUUGCAGUGAGCCAAGAUCAUGCCACUGCACUCCAACCUGGGUGACAGAGUGAGACUCUGUCUCAAACAAACAAAAAAAAGAAUAACCACAGAAUGUAUUUAAUUGAAAAUUAAAGUCCUCCUUGAAUACAAUAUAAUGCUGUAUUAGAAAAUUGAGAGAAACUGUCAUAAAGUCAUGUGUAUUUGUAAAUUGACCCACCUAAUGUUGCAGUCAGUCCAAUUUCCAUGUGUACAGUGACCUUGAAAUGUUAUUUGUCAUGGCUCUCUUCAGAGGAAGAAAGUAAAAGGUAUUAGGAAAAGAACUGACAGCCAGGCACAGUGGCUCCAGCCUGUAAUCCCAACACUUUGGGAGGCCAUGGCAGGCAAAUCGUUUGACGUCAGGAAUUCAAGACCAGCCUGGCCAACAUGGUAAAACCCCAUCUCUACACAAAAAUUAGCCGGGCAUGGUGCUGCAUGCCUGUGAUCCCAGCUACUCAGGAAGGUGAGGCAAGGAGAACUGCUUGAACCCAUGAAGCGGAGGUUGCAGUGAGCUGAGAUCAUGCCACCGCUCUCUAUCCUGGGUGACAGAGCAAGACUCCAUCUCAAAAAAAAAAAAAAAAAAAACCUGUAAGGGGAAGAGGGGAAAAAUAAAUCUAUAAACUUCUGUUUUGCAUUUUUUUUAAAGCCUAUCUCAAUUACAUCCUUGGCUCUUUAAAACAUAUCUUUAAAUAUUUAAUUUUCACAAAAAGUAUUAUAGAGGGUCAUACAUAUUUUUAAAUAUUUAAUUUUCACAAAAAGUUUUAUAGAGGGUCAUACAUAUUUUUAAAUAUUUAAUUUUCACAAAAAGUUUUAUAGAGGGUCAUAUCUUGAGCUUCUGCUUCCUUGAGACCAAAUGAUUCCUUACAUUAACCAAGUUACACUGUGAAUCACAAGUAAGUCCUAUUCUCAUAAAAUGUCAGCUAAAUAUAAAUUGUAUUUGUUUCUAUAAACAUUUAUGUUUAAGUGUAUGAUACAGUAAUCAUGAUCCUUAAUCUUAACCCACACUUUUCAAAAAUAAUAAAGUAAACCUAAUUAAUUUCCCAUGCAAUACACUGAAAGGUACUCAUGCUAGCUUCCCCAAAUUCACAAAUUAUAAACUCUUUGCAAUCUGCAGCUCAAAUACUAUGAUGUGAGGAAACUGAGAUGUAGUAUGUGUUCUGCAUAUGUAAAGACAGUAAACUGGCACAUCAGCACCGGAGCUGGCAGUGUUUGGCUGGUCAGUCCCCUGGUUUUCCAGGGUGAUAAUAGAUUUGCAUAGAUUUAACUUCCCUGUUUGGUCCAGACCCUUGGAGGAUGGCAGCAUGCACCUGGAGUGGGCGUGAGCUACAAGAACAGAGCAGAAAAUGCAAAGCUGACUGUCUCACCUGGUGACUGACUGACUGACUGGUCAUGAACUUGGUCUCCAUUUGUUUAGUUUCUCACCAGCUGAGCUAACUCACCUUUAAGGUUGAGUUACACAAGCAUUUGCUCAAAGCAGAAACAAUAAAACAAAUUCACCAAAGCAAUUGCCUUUAGACAUGAGGAUUUCAAAGGCCUCAAGGUAGGCAACUAGUAAUGCCAUCAUCUGGCAAAAAAGGCACCAGAAGGGCAAUCUAGAACCCUGGGAUUUUGUCCUUGUUGUCAUUAUACAACAUAAUAAGUCACAAUUACCAGUUACUUCAUUUGUAGAAUGUAAAGCUGAUCUUGACACUUCUAAGAGCCCUUCCAAUUUUGAACUACUAAUAAUUUGUAUUCUUGUCAAAAUGAUAUAAAUCAUAAACAUUUUUUUAAAUCUAGAUUUUUUUUUAACACGUGACAAAGAGCUGCUAAAAUGUUCUAAGAUAAAACAAAAUAAAAUGAGCCUGCCCUUUUGAAACAAAAGUCUCUAAGAGUAACAAUGGGAAAAUAACUAUACAAAACAUCCUCAAGCUGUUUUCCCUCAUCUAAAAUGAGACAGGAUUGCCCAGACAAUGUGGAAUCUAAUUUCUUAAACUAAUUAUUCUAUUGCAGCACUGCAGUAUUGGUGCAAGAUUUUAAAAAUACAAUGUCAAGGUAAUUUUCAUAUAUCAUCUAGAAAUAUAACUUACUCCCUUUCCUCUCCUUUACUGUUAAAAAUCCUUGCACAAGUGUAAAAGUGAAACCAGAAUUUCAUCUAAUAAAUGUCUGUCUUCACUUUAUGGUGCUGCUCUGAAAGCUGGAUGACUGAAUUUGGGAGCAGGAAGAAGCAUGUGCAAAAUUGUUUUUAACCUUACAAAUCCUCAUGAUGUCUCCUUUAGUGUAGUCUUGGGAGAAAAAUUAAAAUGGAAUGCAGAAAUUAUAUGAAAGAGUCACAGUCUA